AGCUUUGCACAGUAUUGUAGCCAAUGAGGUUUAUCUGAUGCGCAAUGAUUGCUAAUUGAAAAAUAGCUAAUAUUUAUUGAUUAUCAUGUGCUAGACAUUAUUUAAUGCUUUUUAUGACUUAUCUCGGGUGA
rnacentral:snRNA from 1 species